GAAUAUUGGACAAUGGGGGGAACCCUGAUCCAGCCAUGCCGCGUGUGUGAAGAAGGCCUUUUGGUUGUAAAGCACUUUAAGCGAGGAGGAGGCUACUUAGAUUAAUACUCUAGGAUCGUGGACGUUACUCGCAGAAUACUCACCGGCCAACUCCGUUCACGCCACCGCGGUAAUACAGAGGGUGCAAGCGUUAAUCGGAUUUACUGGGCGUAAAGCGCGCGUAGGUGGCCAAUUAAGUCAAAUGUGAAAUCCCCGGGCUUAACGUGGGAAUUGCAUUCGAGACUGGUUGGCUAGAGUAUGGGAGAGGAUGGUAGAAUUCCAGGUGUAGCGGUGAAAUGCGUAGAGAUCUGGAGGAAUACCGAUGGCGAAGGCAGACAUCUGGCCUAAUACUGACACUGAGGUGCGAAAGCAUGGGGAGCAAACA
rnacentral:rRNA from 1 species